rnacentral:rRNA from 2 species
GGAUGCGAUCAUAGCAGCACUAAAGCACCGGAUCCCAUCAGAACUCCGAAGUUAAGCGUGCUUGGGUGAGAGUAGUACUAGGAUGGGUGACCUCGUGGGAAGUCCUCGUGAUGCGUUCC